UACGGAGGGUGCAAGCGUUGUCCGGAUUUAUUGGGUUUAAAGGGUGCGUAGGCGGUGCGUUAAGUCAGUGGUGAAAUCUCUCGGCUCAACCGAGAAACUGCCAUUGAUACUGGCGCACUUGAGUACGGACGAGGUAGGCGGAAUUUAUGGUGUAGCGGUGAAAUGCAUAGAUACCAUAAAGAACACCAAUAGCGAAGGCAGCUUACUAGACCGUAACUGACGCUCAGGCACGAAAGCGUGGGGAGCGAACAGG
rnacentral:ncRNA from 2 species